GUCGCAAAUAACAUUAUUAAUAACCUGUAAAUAAUACAUUUUGUACACAUUACGUUACUCUUCACUUUGUAAUAGUAUGUUUUUGGUUUAAUAGUCGGCUUUAAGUUAGUUUUUCUGUCAGUUUGAUCGUCAAAAUGUUGAAAGUUAUCUGCAGCCACACAUCCACUGUAUACCAAGUUAUGAUGAUCAAUUAUGAAAAUGCAAAAGGAUUGAUAGAUCAGUAAACAAGCAACAAAAAGCUUUACAAAAAAUGUAGAAUUUGUAGGAGCAUGGACAUCUGAGUAACAAAGUCAUAUUAUGCAGAUGGGUGCUCAUGGUGGCCUCCAAAUAAAUACAUGGCAGGCUGCUAAAGAGGGUCAGGAUGAUGGAGAUGCAAGAGUCAAAGACAGCACGGACCAAACACCAGGCCAGAAUUCUGCAUGAGUCAGCUGUAAAAAAAACAAAAGAAUGAAACAGUACCUGCAUUUAAGUUUCCAGCCUUUUUCACAAAGUUGCUGACAACUGGAAGAAUGUCCCAAAUUGCUGCAAAAAGAAAUUCAAUUGAGUAAUUUUCACUCUAGAGACCCUGGGGUGACCACCAAGGACGAAUGCAAACUCCAGUGAGUGUCUCUAAGGUAGAUCCUAAUGCAGAUGGAUGGAAUGUUGAUCCGCCUAACAUGCAAGGUAAAAGAGCAUUUGAUAGCAUAGUGGAUAAACAAAGCUUUUUUCAUUUUCAGAGCAUUUUCAAAAACAACAUAACACUUGCUAUUACAUUGUUAUAUAUUACAUGACCAUGUCUAACUCUGAUCCAUACAAAACAGAUUUUCUGUACCGAGAACUUUGGAUGACCACGUUUUCAAAAAUCUGACCUCAAUUUUAGUAACCAUUUAGAUAUUUUAGAUGUAGUCCGAGAGCUUGCUGACCCUCCAUUAAAAAUGUAUGUACGGUAUACUGUUCAUGUCCAGAAAGGUAAUAAAAACAU